GCGUAAUAGCUCACUGGUCGAGUCGGCCUGCGCGGAAGAUGUAACGGGGCUAAACCAUGCACCGAAGCUGCGGCAGCGACACUAUGUGUUGUUGGGUAGGGGAGCGUUCUGUAAGCCUGCGAAGGUGACCUGUGAGGGUUGCUGGAGGUAUCAGAAGUGCGAAUGCUGACAUAAGUAACGAUAAAGCGGGUGAAAAGCCCGCUCGCCGGAAGACCAAGGGUUCCUGUCCAACGUUAAUCGGGGCAGGGUGAGUCGACCCCUAAGGCGAGGCCGAAAGGCGUAGUCGAUGGGAAACAGGUUAAUAUUCCUGUACUUGGUGUUACUGCGAAGGGGGGACGGAGAAGGCUAUGUUAGCCGGGCGACGGUUGUCCCGGUUUAAGCAUGUAGGCUGGUUAUCCAGGCAAAUCCGGAUAAUCAAGGCUGAGGUGUGAUGACGAGGCACUACGGUGCUGAAGUAACAAAUGCCCUGCUUCCAGGAAAAGCCUCUAAGCAUCAGGUAACAUCAAAUCGUACCCCAAACCGACACAGGUGGUCAGGUAGAGAAUACCAAGGCGCUUGAGAGAACUCGGGUGAAGG
rnacentral:rRNA from 1 species